rnacentral:rRNA from 1 species
GAUGAACGCUGGCGGCGUGCCUAAUACAUGCAAGUCGAGCGAACGGACGAGAAGCUUGCUUCUCUGAUGUUAGCGGCGGACGGGUGAGUAACACGUGGAUAACCUACCUAUAAGACUGGGAUAAAUUCGGGAAACCGGAGCUAAUACCGGAUAAUAUUUUGAACCGCAUGGUUCAAAAGUGAAAGACGGUCUUGCUGUCACUUAUAGAUGGAUCCGCGCUGCAUUAGCUAGUUGGUAAGGUAACGGCUUACCAAGGCAACGAUGCAUAGCCGACCUGAGAGGGUGAUCGGCCACCCUGGGACUGGGACCCGGUCCAGACUCCUUCGGGAGGCAGCCGUAGGGAAUCUUCCGCAAUGGGCGAAAGCCUGACGGAGCAACGCCGCGUGAGUGAUGAAGGUCUUCGGAUCGUAAAACUCUGUUAUUAGGGAAGAACAUAUGUGUAAGUAACUGUGCACAUCUUGACGGUACCUAAUCAGAAAGCCACGGCUAACUUCGUGC